CAUUGAUGUGAUGAUAAUCUUUUCUGAAAAUACAAUGUCGACUAAAGAAAUCAGACUACAAUUAUCUGAUCAACU
rnacentral:snoRNA from 1 species